GACGAACGCUGGCGGCGUGCUUAACACAUGCAAGUCGAACGGUGAGGCCCUUCUCUUUUUGGGGGCUCGAGUGGCGAACGGAUGAGGAACGCGAGAGUAGCCUGCCCUGGACUUUUGUAUAACUUCAGGAAACGGGGGCGUAGACCGGAUGGGAGCUCCUGCGGCAUUGGGGUGGUUGGAAAGGUUCGGCUGUUGUGGAUGUAGGCGCGGCUUUUCAGCUUGUUGGGGGGGUAGUGGCUUACCUAGGCUUUGACGGGUAGCCGGCCUGAGAGGGUGACCGGCACCAUUGGGACUGAGAUACGGCCCAGAAUCGUACGGGAGGCAGCAGUGGGGAAUAUUGUAAAAUGGGCGGACGCCUGAUGCAGCAACGCCGCGUGCGGGAUGAAGGCCUUCGGGUUGUAAACCGCUUUCGCCUGUGACGAGGGGUGGGUGACGGUAAUGGGUAAAGAAGCACCGGCUAACUACGUG
rnacentral:rRNA from 1 species